rnacentral:rRNA from 1 species
AUUGCACAAUGGGCGCAAGCCUGAUGCAGCAACGCCGCGUGAGGGACGAAGGCCUUCGGGUUGUAAACCUCUUGUAGUAGGGAAGAAGCGACUGGGUUUUCCUGGGAGUGACGGUACCUGCAGAAAAAGCACCGGCUAACUACGUGCCAGCAGCCGCGGUAAUACGUAGGGUGCAAGCGUUGUCCGGAAUUAUUGGGCGUAAAGAGCUCGUAGGCGGUUUGUCGCGUCUGCUGUGAAAACCCGAGGCUCAACCUCGGGCCUGCAGUGGGUACGGGCAGACUAGAGUGCGGUAGGGGAGAUUGGAAUUCCUGGUGUAGCGGUGGAAUGCGCAGAUAUCAGGAGGAACACCAAUGGCGAAGGCAGAUCUCUGGGCCGUAACUGACGCUGAGGAGCGAAAGCAUGGGGAGCGAACAGGAUUAGAUACCCUGGUAGUCCAUGCCGUAAACGUUGGGAACUAGAUGUGGGGACCAUUCCACGGUCUCCGUGUCGCAGCUAACGCAUUAAGUUCCCCGCCUGGGGAGUACGGCCGCAAGGCUAAAACUCAAAGGAAUUGACGGGGGCCCGCACAAGCGGCGGAGCAUGCGGAUUAAUUCGAUGCAACGCGAAGAACCUUACCAAGGCUUGACAUAUACCGGAAACGGCUGGAAACAGUCGCCCCGCAAGGUCGGUAUACAGGUGGUGCAUGGUUGUCGUCAGCUCGUGUCGUGAGAUGUUGGGUUAAGUCCCGCAACGAGCGCAACCCUCGUCCUAUGUUGCCAGCACGUAAUGGUGGGAACUCAUGGGAUACUGCCGGGGUCAACUCGGAGGAAGGUGGGGAUGACGUCAAAUCAUCAUGCCCCUUAUGUCUUGGGCUUCACGCAUGCUACAAUGGCCGGUACAAAGGGCUGCGAUACCGCAAGGUGGAGCGAAUCCCAAAAAGCCGGUCUCAGUUCGGAUUGAGGUCUGCAACUCGACCUCAUGAAGUCGGAGUCGCUAGUAAUCGCAGAUCAGCAACGCUGCGGUGAAUACGUUCCCGGGCCUUGUACACAC